rnacentral:rRNA from 1 species
GACGUAGGGCGCGAGCGUUGUCCGGAUUUAUUGGGCGUAAAGAGCUCGUAGGCGGCUUGUCGCGUCGACUGUGAAAACCCGAGGCUCAACUUCGGGCUUGCAGUCGAUACGGGCGGGCUAGAGUUCGGUAGGGGAGACUGGAAUUCCUGGUGUAGCGGUGAAAUGCGCAGAUAUCAGGAGGAACACCGGUGGCGAAGGCGGGUCUCUGGGCCGAUACUGACGCUGAGGAGCGAAAGCGUGGGGAGCGAACAGG